rnacentral:rRNA from 1 species
AGCGCAGGUGGGCUGUCAAGUCUGUCUUAAAAGUGCGGGGCUUAACCCCGUGAUGGGAUAGAAACUGGCAGUCUUGAGUGCAGGAGAGGAAAGCGGAAUUCCUAGUGUAGCGGUGAAAUGCGUAGAUAUUAGGAGGAACACCAGUGGCGAAGGCGGCUUUCUGGACUGUAACUGACACUGAGGCUCGAAAGCGAGGGGAGCGAACG